rnacentral:rRNA from 1 species
UACGUAGGGUGCGAGCGUUAAUCGGAAUUACUGGGCGUAAAGCGUGCGCAGGCGGUUGUGCAAGACAGAGGUGAAAGCCCCGGGCUCAACCUGGGAAUGCAUUGGAAACUGGCGGACUAGAGUGUGGCAGAGGGGGGUGGAAUUCCGCGUGUAGCAGUGAAAUGCGUAGAGAUGCGGAGGAACACCGAUGGCGAAGGCAGCCCCCUGGGCUAACACUGACGCUCAGGCACGAAAGCGUGGGGAGCAAACAGG